GGGGGAUAACMUUUGGAAACWRAUGCUAAUACCGCAUAAAUSCAAGAACCGCRUGGKUCUUGGCUGAAAGAUGGSGUAAGCUAUCGCUUUUGGRUGGACCCGCGGCGUAUUAKCUAGUKGGWGAGGUAACGGCUCACCAAGGSAAUGAUACGUAGCCGAACUGARAGGUUGAUCGGSCACWUUGGGACUGAGACACGGSCCARACUCCUACGGGAGGCAGCAGUAGGGAAUCUUCCACAAUGGACGCAAGUCUGAUGGAGCAACGCCGCGUGAGUGAAGAAGGCUUUCGGGUCGUAAAACUCUGUUGUUGGAGAAGAAUGGUCGGCAGAGUAACUGUUGUCGGCGUGACGGUAUCCAACCAGAAAGCCACGGCUAACUACGUGCCAGCAGCCGCGGUAAUACGUAGGUGGCAAGCGUUAUCCGGAUUUAUUGGGCGUAAAGCGAGCGCAGGCGGUUUUUUAAGUCUGAUGUGAAAGCCCUCGGCUUAACCGAGGAAGUGCAUCGGAAACUGGGAAACUUGAGUGCAGAAGAGGACAGUGGAACUCCAUGUGUAGCGGUGAAAUGCGUAGAUAUAUGGAAGAACACCAGUGGCGAAGGCGGCUGUCUGGUCUGUAACUGACGCUGAGGCUCGAAAGCAUGGGUAGCGAACAGGAUUAGAUACCCUGGUAGUCCAUGCCGUAAACGAUGAAUGCUAGGUGUUGGAGGGUUUCCGCCCUUCAGUGCCGCAGCUAACGCAUUAAGCAUUCCGCCUGGGGAGUACGACCGCAAGGUUGAAACUCAAAGGAAUUGACGGGGGCCCGCACAAGCGGUGGAGCAUGUGGUUUAAUUCGAAGCAACGCGAAGAACCUUACCAGGUCUUGACAUCUUUUGAUCACCUGAGAGAUCAGGUUUCCCCUUCGGGGGCAAAAUGACAGGUGGUGCAUGGUUGUCGUCAGCUCGUGUCGUGAGAUGUUGGGUUAAGUCCCGCAACGAGCGCAACCCUUAUGACUAGUUGCCAGCAUUUAGUUGGGCACUCUAGUAAGACUGCCGGUGACAAACCGGAGGAAGGUGGGGAUGACGUCAAAUCAUCAUGCCCCUUAUGACCUGGGCUACACACGUGCUACAAUGGAUGGUACAACGAGUUGCGAGACCGCGAGGUCAAGCUAAUCUCUUAAAGCCAUUCUCAGUUCGGACUGUAGGCUGCAACUCGCCUACACGAAGUCGGAAUCGCUAGUAAUCGCGGAUCAGCACGCCGCGGUGAAUACGUUCCCGGGCCUUGUACACACCGCCCGUCACACCAUGAGAGUUUGUAACACCCGAAGCCGGUGGCGUAACCCUUUUAGGGAGCGASCCGUCUAAGGUGGGACAAAUGAUUAGGGKGAAGUCGUAACAAGGUAGCCGUAGGAGAACCUGCGGCUGGAUCACCUCCUUUCU
rnacentral:rRNA from 2 species